GCUCAACCGGGGAGGGUCAUUGGAAACUGGGGAACUUGAGUGCAGAAGAGGAGAGUGGAAUUCCACGUGUAGCGGUGAAAUGCGUAGAGAUGUGGAGGAACACCAGUGGCGAAGGCGACUCUCUGGUCUGUAACUGACGCUGAGGCGCGAAAGCGUGGGGAGCGAACAGGAUUAGAUACCCUGGUAGUCCACGCCGUAAACGAUGAGUGCUAAGUGUUAGAGGGUUUCCGCCCUUUAGUGCUGCAGCAAACGCAUUAAGCACUCCGCCUGGGGAGUACGGUCGCAAGACUGAAACUCAAAGGAAUUGACGGGGGCCCGCACAAGCGGUGGAGCAUGUGGUUUAAUUCGAAGCAACGCGAAGAACCUUACCAGGUCUUGACAUCCUCUGACAACCCUAGAGAUAGGGCUUCCCCUUCGGGGGGCAGAGUGACAGGUGGUGCAUGGUUGUCGUCAGCUCGUGUCGUGAGAUGUUGGGUUAAGUCCCGCAACGAGCGCAACCCUUGAUCUUAGUUGCCAGCAUUAAGUUGGGCACUCUAAUGAGACUGCCGGUGACAAACCGGAGGAAGGUGGGGAUGACGUCAAGUCAUCAUGCCCCUUAUGACCUGGGCUACACACGUGCUACAAUGGGCAGUACAACG
rnacentral:rRNA from 1 species